rnacentral:rRNA from 1 species
AUUGAACGCUGGCGGUAGGCUUAACACAUGCAAGUCGAGCGAGUGGCGGACGGGUGAGUAAUGUAUGGGAAUCUGCCCGAUAGAGGGGGAUAACUACUGGAAACUGUGGCUAAUACCGCAUACUAUCGGAUCAGCCCAUAUGGGAUUAGCUAGUAGGUGGGGUAAAGGCUCACCUAGGCAACGAUCCCUAGCUGGUUUGAGAGGAAGAUCAGCCACACUGGGAAUGAGACACGGCCCAGACUCCUACGGGAGGCAGCAGUGGGGAAUAUUGCACAAUGGGCGAAAGCCUGAUGCAGCCAUGCCGCGUGUAUGAAGAAGGCCUUCGGGUUGUAAAGUACUUUCAGCGGAGAAGCGGUACCUGCAGAAGAAGCACCGGCUAACUACGUGCCAGCAGCCGCGGUAAUAC